UGGGGACACAGUGCAUGGGGACAGCUGGGAUUUCCAGCCCUGUGCCCCUCUUUCUGUCCCGCACUCUGGAUUCUUGUCUUCACAGAGGCCUUGAGUAACUGUUCAGAGGGCCUGCUGGGAUCUGAGCUAGCCCCACCAGACCCCUGCUACACGUGCCAGUGCCAGGACCUGACAUGGCUCUGCAUCCACCAGGCUUGUCCUGAGCUCAGCUGUCCCCUCUCAGAGCGCCACACUCCCCCUGGGAGCUGCUGCCCCGUAUGCCGGGAAUGUGUGGUGGAGGCCGAGGGCCGGAGAGUGGCAGAUGGAGAGAGCUGGCGGGACCCCAGCAAUGCGUGCAUCGCCUGCACCUGCCAUCGGGGCCAUGUGGAGUGCCACCUCGAGGAGUGCCAGGCCCUCUCCUGCCCCCAUGGCUGGGCGAAGGUGCCCCAGGCUGACAGCUGCUGUGAGCGAUGCCAAGCUCCCACCCAGUCCUGCGUGCACCAGGGCCGUGAGGUGGCCUCUGGAGAGCGCUGGACUGUGGACACCUGCACCAGCUGCUCCUGCAUGGCGGGCACCGUGCGUUGCCAGAGCCAGCGCUGCUCACCGCUCUCGUGUGGCCCCGUGAGUGCCGCAAUCUAAAAUGGUGGGGAGGGUCAGGGUGGGGGCACAUGGUACCGCCAUCCUGGUGUGACCAGGCAUCAGAGAGGGAGGCUGGGCUCCUGCCGCCAGCUGGGAGCUGGGGACAGUGCUGUUCCCAGUGCGACCACGAUGUGGUGCCCUGACCUCACUCACAGGGAGCCUGGGAGCCAGAGUCCUGGAGAUCCCUGGAGACUCCUGGGAGAUGCUUGGUUUUCUGGGAGGGUCUGCGAGAGGCAUGGCGGGGAGGGCGGUGUGUCUGACAGUGUCUGGGGCUGAGUGCAGGACAAGGCCCCUGCCCUGAGUCCUGGCAGCUGCUGCCCCCGCUGCCUGCCUCGGCCCGCUUCCUGCAUGGCCUUCGGAGACCCCCAUUACCGCACCUUCGACGGCCGCCUGCUGCACUUCCAGGGCAGUUGCAGCUAUGUGCUGGCCAAGGACUGCCACAGCGGG
rnacentral:lncRNA from 1 species